rnacentral:rRNA from 1 species
UACGUAGGGUGCGAGCGUUAAUCGGAAUUACUGGGCGUAAAGCGUGCGCAGGCGGUUCGUGAUGUCUGAUGUGAAAGCCCCGGGCUCAACCUGGGAAUUGCAUUGGAAACUAGCGGGCUGGAGUGUGGCAGAGGGGGGUGGAAUUCCACGUGUAGCAGUGAAAUGCGUAGAGAUGUGGAGGAACACCGAUGGCGAAGGCAGCCCCUGGGCUAACACUGACGCUCAUGCACGAAAGCGUGGGGAGCAAACAGG